UACGUAGGGUGCAAGCGUUGUCCGGAAUUAUUGGGCGUAAAGAGCUCGUAGGCGGUCUGUCGCGUCGGCUGUGAAAUCCCGAGGCUCAACCCUGGACCUGCAUUCGAUACGGGCAGACUAGAGUUCGGUAGGGGAGACUGGAAUUCCUGGUGUAGCGGUGAAAUGCGCAGAUAUCAGGAGGAACACCGGUGGCGAAGGCGGGUCUCUGGGCCGAAACUGACGCUGAGGAAACGAAAGCCAGGGGAGCAAACAGG
rnacentral:rRNA from 1 species